rnacentral:lncRNA from 1 species
UGAUAGAAUUAUGGGGGAAAAAACCAUAUAAAGUACUCAAAGAAAGAACUUUGAGAUUGAACACCAAAUAUAUGUACCGAUAACAUCAAAGUAAUAAAUAAAUCGUGUGGAUCUGAUUGGCAAAAAAACAUAUGAUACAGUAAAAAGAAAGAACUUUGACAGUGAACACCAGAUAUACACACAAAUAAAAGAGGGCAGAUGUGAGUAUAAUUACCAAUGAGAAUAAGACGUUUGUCAGGCUUGGAGGAACACCGCAUGCGGCGGAGGAGCUCCGACAUGAGGCUCUCCGACGGAACAUCUUCUAAGUUCACGGAUGUCGACAUUGUUUCAAUGGAGGCUUUGGAGUUUUGGGCGUUAGGAUUUCGGAACUUCCAAACGCUUCAAAUUUCAAUGGAGGCUUUGGAGUUUUGGGUGUUGGGAUUCGGAACUUCCAACGCUUCAAACUGAAGCAAGAUUUUACACACAGCAAUGACGCUACGUGAGGUUUACUGUUAUAAUGACUAUUAUAUCCUUGAAUCACUGUUUAAUUACACAUUCUUCCCUCCCCAAUAUAAAUAUUUUGAAAAAGAAAAUCUCUAUAUUUUGCUAAAAGA